AGGACGAACGCUGGCGGCGUGCUUAACACAUGCAAGUCGAACGGAAAAGCCCUUUCGGGGGUACUCGAGUGGCGAACGGGUGAGUAACACGUGGGUGAUCUGCCCUGCACUUCGGGAUAAGCUUGGGAAACUGGGUCUAAUACCGGAUAGGACUACGGACUUCAUGGUUUGUGGUGGAAAGCUUUUGCGGUGUGGGAUGGGCCCGCGGCCUAUCAGCUUGUUGGUGGGGUGAUGGCCUACCAAGGCGACGACGGGUA
rnacentral:rRNA from 1 species